rnacentral:rRNA from 1 species
CACGUAGGGGGCAAGCGUUGUCCGGAUUUACUGGGCGUAAAGAGCGUGUAGGCGGCCAAGCAGGUCCGUUGUGAAAACUGGAGGCUUAACCUCCAGACGUCGACGGAAACCGCGUGGCUAGAGUCCGGAAGAGGAGAGUGGAAUUCCUGGUGUAGCGGUGAAAAUGCGCAGAUAUCAGGAAGAACACCAAUGGCGAAGGCAGCUCUCUGGGACGGUACUGACGCUGAGACGCGAAAGCGUGGGGAGCGAACAGG